rnacentral:rRNA from 1 species
UACAGAGGUCCCAAGCGUUGUCCGGAAUCAUUGGGCGUAAAGGGCGCGUAGGUGGCCCGGUCAGUUCGUGGUGAAAGCGCGGGGCUCAACUCCGCGUCGGCCAUGAAUACUGCUGGGCUUGAGCACUGUAGAGGCAGGCGGAAUUCCGGGUGUAGCGGUGGAAUGCGUAGAGAUCCGGAAGAACACCGGUGGCGAAGGCGGUUGGCUGGGCCACAACUGACACUGAUGCGCGACAGCGUGGGGAGCAAACAGG